rnacentral:rRNA from 1 species
UCAAGUUUGGAAGCUCAAUGGUUUAACCAUUGCGCAUUGUAAACUGAAAACAGGAUCAAUCAGGUACACCGGGUGAUAAGUUCCUUGGAAUAGGACAUCAUGGAGGGUGAGAAUCCCGUCUUUGACCCGAGUCUAGUAUCUUUUGUAUUGGCCUGUUCAAGAGUCAGGUUGUUUGGGAAUGCAGCCUAAAGCUGGAGGUAAAUCCCUCCUGAAGCUAAAUAAUGGCGAGAGACCGAUAGCGAACAAGUACCGUGAGGGAAAGAUGAAAAGAACUCUGAAGAGAGAGUUAAACAGUACGUGAAAUUGCUUAAAGGGAAGCAUAUAAAGCUAGGAUGCGAUUGUUUUCUUCAGGUUGAGCUUUGGCUUGACUGUUCAGAAGGAUAAUCCAAGACAACAAGAAUUGGAGGAGGAGAAUAAGCCAUUGGGGAAGGUAAUCCUUCGGGAUGUUUAUAGACCUGAUGGUUCGCGCUCUUCUUUCGAUUGAGGUACGCUUUUUUUAAAGGUAGUUGUCUGAAUGGCUUUAUAUGG